AGAGUUUGAUCCUGGCUCAGAUUGAACGCUGGCGGCAUGCCUUACACAUGCAAGUCGAACGGCAGCACGGGAGCAAUCCUGGUGGCGAGUGGCGAACGGGUGAGUAAUGUAUCGGAACGUGCCCAGUCGUGGGGGAUAACGCAGCGAAAGCUGUGCUAAUACCGCAUACGAUCUAUGGAUGAAAGCGGGGGAUCGCAAGACCUCGCGCGAUUGGAGCGGCCGAUAUCAGAUUAGGUAGUUGGUGGGGUAAAGGCCCACCAAGCCGACGAUCUGUAGCUGGUCUGAGAGGACGACCAGCCACACUGGAACUGAGACACGGUCCAGACUCCUACGGGAGGCAGCAGUGGGGAAUUUUGGACAAUGGGCGCAAGCCUGAUCCAGCAAUGCCGCGUGCAGGAUGAAGGCCUUCGGGUUGUAAACUGCUUUUGUACGGAACGAAACGGCGAGCUCUAAUAAAGCUUGCUAAUGACGGUACCGUAAGAAUAAGCACCGGCUAACUACGUGCCAGCAGCCGCGGUAAUACGUAGGGUGCAAGCGUUAAUCGGAAUUACUGGGCGUAAAGCGUGCGCAGGCGGUUAUAUAAGACAGAUGUGAAAUCCCCGGGCUCAACCUGGGACCUGCAUUUGUGACUGUAUAGCUAGAGUACGGUAGAGGGGGAUGGAAUUCCGCGUGUAGCAGUGAAAUGCGUAGAUAUGCGGAGGAACACCGAUGGCGAAGGCAAUCCCCUGGACCUGUACUGACGCUCAUGCACGAAAGCGUGGGGAGCAAACAGGAUUAGAUACCCUGGUAGUC
rnacentral:rRNA from 1 species